rnacentral:rRNA from 1 species
GAUGAACGCUGGCGGCGUGCCUAAUACAUGCAAGUCGAGCGAAGCGGGGACGGGUGAGUAACACGUGGAUAACCUCCUAUAAGACUGGGAUAACUUCGGGAAACCGGGGCUAAACCGGAAACUUAUAAAUGGAGCCGAGCUGGAUUAGCUAGUUGGUAAGUUAACGGCUUACCAAGGCAACGAUGCAUAGCCGAUCUGAGAGGGUGAUCGGCCACACUGGAACUGAGACACGGUCCAGACUCCUACGGGAGGCAGCAGUAGGGAAUCUUCCGCAAUGGGCGAAAGCCUGACGGAGCCACGCCGCGUGAGUGAUGAAGGUCUUCGGAUCGUAAAACUCUGUUAUUAGGGAAGCGUUACCUACUCAGAAAGCCACGGCUAACUACGUGCCAGCAGCCGCGGUAAUAC